UCUAAGGAGAAACUAGGCGGAUGGCUUCGGCCAAACCCGCCAGGUCGGCCAGCCUUCGGGCUGGAAGCUCAAUACCUCAUCGUGCAUUUCGGAAUUUAAGGGACUGCGGUUCCUUGACAUUCUCGCGGUUCUACCUGGACACAGGCAGCCAAGGGGGCUGUAGCUCAGUUGGUAGAGCGGUAGCUUUGCAAGCUAUAGGUCAGGAGUUCGAAUCUCCUCAGCUCCACCAGGCGCGGGCAAAGGCCUGGGUUAUAAGGGGGCCUGUAGCUCAGUUGGUUAGAGCAUGCGCUUGAUAAGCGCAGGGUCACUGGUUCAAGUCCAGUCAGGCCCACCAACCGCGGGAAUACACGAAUUUUGGGCGCAAGCCCGGUUCUUUGACAACUGCAUACGAAUGGGCAAUUAAAUUACAGUGAAUCGUUGAGAUAAGCCGGAUUUUCAAAAUCCGGGCUCAGAUUUGCGAUCAAGCUACUAAGGGCGGAAGGUGAAUGCCUUGGUGCCAAGAGGCGAUGAAGGACGCGGCAAGCUGCGAUAAGCUUCGGGGAGCUGCAAACAGGCGCUGAUCCGAAGAUUU
rnacentral:misc_RNA from 1 species